GGGAAAAUUUCUUCCCGUUAGUUCAUGUUUAUAUAGCGGAAACGUGUUCACCAAUGUUGUUGGUGUAAGGAUGCUUAUUUUGGGGCAUUUCCUUUACAAGAAAUAGCAGCGGCAAAGAUUUGACGGGAGUUAGAAAGAGCAAGAGAAGCAAGUAGAAUAACUCUGUUUGGUCAGAAGGUCAAUGAGUUCUUACGACAUAUUUGACCUCUUUGGAAUCUAGACAUUUUGGCAUCAAGGUAUUAAAGCAUCUUAGCAUAUAAGCUUGAUGACGUGCUAAUAAAGGCCUCUGAAAAAGAGCAACUUGUCCUGAGUGACUGAAGGGGAGUUACAUUGUUGUUGCUGCUAACACUGGCCCAACCAGUUCUCUUUUGUUUUUCGUUUUUUUGAGGGUGCUAUUACUUUUUUGCACAAGGCCAGAUACAUUUUUUUUCUUAAAAAAUGGAUGCCAUUUAAAAAUAGCAUUUUUAAUUCACUUGGGUUAUAGUUGUCUGUUAUUUACAUUUUCAACAUUAAAGUGGAAACACUAUUCAGAAUAUAUAUUAAUUUGCAAAGGGGAUCAGCACUUUACAUCACGGUGACGCAGCUGUAAAGCGUUGGCCUCAUAGUUCUGACGACCCAGGUUCAGACGCAGCCGUACCUGUGUGGAGUUUGCAUGUUCUCCCCGUGCCUGCGUGGGUUUUCUCCGGAAAACUCCGGUUUCGCAACACAUUCCAAAAGCAUGCAUUUAUUGGAGACUCUAAAUGGCCAGUAGGUGUGAUUGUGAGUGCGACUGUUGUCUGUAUCUACGUGCCCUGUAAUUGGUUGGCAACUAGUACAGGGGGUACCCUGCCUCAUGCCUGUUGACAGUUGGGAUACACUCCAGCACUCUCGCGAGCCUAGUAGGGAUAAGCGACUAAGAAAAUGCUUGGCCACUGCAUGUGGAUUUCGUCUUCAACGCUCCUAUUGCCCAGUUUCGAAAAUAAAUACCAUGCAGAGUGGCUCGGAUUGGAGACAGUGACCAAGGCAGUAAAAUUAAAACGUUGAACUGGACUGAUAUUGAGUGUUGACCCUCACUGGACCAAAUGAAAUUUUUUAAUUUUUAAAAAUCUGAUACUUUCAGAAAAUGAUCCUGUGGCCUUAACAUUUUCAAAUAUAUUAAACCUGUUGCAAAUGUGCAACCCCUCCCCGGAAAGGGUUAACAUACUUUGUGAAAGAUUUGAAGCUACUAGUAAUGGACUAUUACUAUCCUGACUCUGACAUGCAAAUUGAUGAUACGUAUCAUAGCAAGUGUGACAGAAUAGUGAAAAGAAGACUUAACCUUAACCUAAAGCAAUUGAUAUUUCCCAGCAGGAUGACAUCUUACAAAAAGAAAUCUCUGUUGUUCUAAAGGAAGAUGAACUAGUGUCAAUGCUACAAGUGUCCACCAGACUGGCUGUUUGAAAGGUAGGUCUUGGGACAAAAAAAAGUUUGGGAACCCCUGCUUUUUUAACAAAUGUAGUGAGAAAAACUGGAGUGCACCAUUGUGGUUUUACCAUGAUUAUCAUCUAUACCACAGGUAUGAAAUUCAAGCCCCAAGGGCCAGAUCCAGCCCGCUGCAUGAUUUUAUGUGCUCCGCAAAAGCAAAUCAUGGGUAUCAACCAUGAUUUUUGUGAAAUCCUGUACCACUGUAUCACAAAUGAUUAAAAAAAACUAAUUUCCCUUGAUUUCUGAUUCCAAAACUAGUUCAUAAAUUUCAUGUGUAAACGUGAUGUGGCGCUUAAAGAUUUUUGUGGCUUCACAGUAAUAAUGGCCCACUGAGGGAAACCGUAACUACAAUUUGGGCCGCGACAAAAAUGAGUUUGACACCCCUUAUCUACGCCAUUUUGCUACUUCCAGGAUGUACUUCUGAGCUAUGAAUAGCACAUCUACCUCACAGUUUAGAGGUUGUGGGUACAAAUCCUGGCAUGUUUUCCGUGUGCCAGUCCAAAACAGUAAAUGAUAGGUUAACUAAAAAAAAAAUCCCUAUAUAUGUGAAUGUAUUUUUUUUGUCUUCUUGUCCCUUGCGAUUGGCUGGCAACCAGUCCAGGGUGUACCUCCAUCUGACCGGAAGUCAUCUGGGAUAAUCGCAAUUGAUUACAGUGUGAAUGUCAUCUAUAGGCAAGGUCCUGUUCCAGUAACGCUUUUACUAAGCAGGCGGCUAUUAACAUGACACCCUCAAGUGCCUUAAUGGUCCAAAACGUCAUUACACCCAAUGUAGUUUGGACCACAAAAAUGAUGAGACCCAAAAUUAACAUAAUCACUCUUAGGGUAAUAUUUACCAUCUUGCUGCCGGAAAGGAGGAACAAAAUAUUUUUGGCAUUUCAUCGCUUGUACAUCUUAAAUUUCUAUGCUGCAUUUGGGACCCAGUAUGUCUCUCAUGUGCGGGACAGCAAGAUUAUUAAAUAAUACAACAAUGUGGUUGGUCAGCUAUCCUUAGUUGCAUUUUUCAAAUAUAUAUUUUAGAUCCCUGAACUUGUGGCCAAUCAUGGAGCGAGACAACUACCAUCUGUCACAUUCAAAAAUCCUGCUAGCUGCACAGGACGUCAGAUUUAAAUGAAUGCAGUGCAGACUGUAAAUUCCACCACAGAACUGAAGCGGUUUGACUAAAACACUACGGUCUUCACCACUUUGGAGCAAUCUGGCCUUACAUCCAUCACGACUGCCUCUGCAGAUUUCUGAACUGCUUCAAGGGAAGAGAACUUGACAUUUCACUCCUGGUUCUGUGAAUUUAGGGACAAGGAUGAUUUAAAUAAAUGCAGUGCACAGUGUUGAAGCGGUCCUACUGAAAAACUACAGCCUUCAACAUUCUGGUGCAACUUGCCGUUGCAUCUAUCACAACUGCCUCUGCAGAUUUUGAACCCUUGGUGCUUUGAAGUCACACGUUACAAGAUCUUAUAGGAGUGUUCCAAGGCAAGAGAACUUGACAUUUCACUGCUGGUUGUGUGACUUUAAGGACAUUUGCUGUGUGUGCAGUACCCAAAAGAUUUGAGGUACACAUUUGAAGUAGCACAGAAGGUUUUCAUGGGACUUGAAAUAGACCUGUCUGCAAGGGUCAGAUCCCUGAAAAAUUAACUUCAGUGAGUUCACUGUGUCAACUAAUGAUGUUGGAUCUGGGAUUGUUGACCUCUAAAUCUGACUCUCUGUCCAGCCAACAAUUUUGGUUUCAUACGCUCCCAACUCACGCUCAUUUCUUUCCUGCUUCAGUCUUUUUUGGGGGGUUUUCCUGCCUUAUUCCACGUUCACACAUAUUACACCUUGUCUUCCAAAACAUGUUACAUGUUAAGAUUGUGUGUUGAUCCAUUACAAAAAACCUUAUGGAGUGUUAAAAAAAACAUUUGAUUUUGAGGCUUUAACAUUAUUGCUUUUUGUGGCAUUGUUAAAAAUGUUAUUGAUCAGUAGCUUCAUAUCUUCUCUAUAGAUGUUCCAUUUUUUGUUCUGAACAUGAAAAGUUAAAUGUUUUUACAGAGGAGAAGACAGCAAUGUACACUAGAAUACCCCAGGCAUGAGCAUUUCAAGGAAACGAUCGUUCUGUUACCGUGUCGUUACCCAGCCUGAGAAAACACGGAACCAAAAGUCCGUUUCCCAGAUCUCAGGGCUUAGUUUUAAUAAAAUUCGCCCACAUCCGGAAUGUGAGAUAAGUUCUCAACGAAAUACAACAAUCUGUAUAAAACGAACCUACAUGAACCCCUUUAUUUACAAUGAUUAAAAUCCCAGCUUUGUCAGUGUGGUUUACAAACAGCACCGGUUUCCGCUUCUGUGCUACCCAUGCGCAAGGUCGAGUUAUUCAUAUCCGGGUCACUCAAACGCUAGUCAAACAUGUCGGUUGCUAAGCGUAAAAGACAAAAAGCUCAUGCCUGCUAAGGCUUUAUUCUGAAGUACAUGUAAAAACCGGUUCCCAUGAGCAUUAUCAAUGGGAACCGAAAAAUCGUUUCCCAGGACAAAAAUCAACAGAACCGAAAGAUCGGUGACCAUACUUGCCGAAAUCCUCAAGCCUGCCAUACUACUGCAACAUUUAACUUUUAGAUUGGAAUGGUUACAGGUCUUAUUUAGUCCCUUGUGAGACUGACAGUUUUGGCUUUCUGUUACCUUGUUUCGGUUUUAUCAUAUUAAUAAUUACUUUCCAGUAAUUGUCAAUAAUUUUUAUGUUGUAUACUGUAAUGCCACACGCACACACAAACAUGACACAGGUUAACUGUUAAGGAUGGCACUGUUAUGGGUUAUCAGUUUGUAAUUGCUGCCCUGUUGGAAGGGCAGGUAUGGCUGUAGAGUUACAAUAAAGCACAAGUUUGUAAUGCAAAUGAUACCGCUGUAAUUAUUUUUUUAUCUUUUAUGGGUAAUUUUGAUAGACUGAUACUUUUAGUGACUGUGACUAAUGAAUUCAUAAUUUUUUAUUUCUUUAACUAUUGCAGAGUGCAUUAUUAGAUUAGGGUUAGUCUUAAAUCAA